rnacentral:rRNA from 1 species
AAUGUCGAACGAGAAAGUCACUUCGGUGGCGAGUACAGUGGCGCACGGGUGAGUAACGCGUAGAUGAUCUACCCUUCAGUCUGGGACAACUCUUGGAAACGGGAGCUAAUACCGGAUAAAACCUUCGGGUUGAAAGAUUUAUCGCUGGGGGAUGAGUCUGCGUACCAUUAGCUUGUUGGUGGGGUAACGGCCUACCAAGGCGACGAUGGUUAGCGGGUCUGAGAGGACGAUCCGCCACACUGGAACUGAGACACGGUCCAGACUCCUACGGGAGGCAGCAGUAGGGAAUAUUGCGCAAUGGGGGCAACCCUGACACAGCAAUGCCGCGUGAGUGAAGAAGGCCUUCGGGUCGUAAAGCUCUUUUAUGGGGGAAGAUGAUGACGGUACCCCAUGAAUAAGCACCGGCUAACUACGUGCCAGCAGCCGCGGUAAUACGUAGGGUGCGAGCGUUGUUCGGAAUUACUGGGCGUAAAGGGCGUGCAGGCGGAUUGGCAAGCCGGAGGUGAAAGCCCGGGGCUCAACCCCGGAGGGUCUUUCGGAACUGCCAGUCUUGAGAGGGUCAGGGGCCAGCGGAAUUCCUGGUGUAGAGGUGAAAUUCGUAGAGAUCAGGAGGAACACCGGCGGCGAAAGCGGCUGGCUGGGGCCACUCUGACGCUGAGGCGCGAAAG